UACCUAGGUCAAAGAGACAGUUCUGGUUC
rnacentral:piRNA from 1 species